UCUCUCUAAUUUCUUCUUUCUCUUCGCGACGUUCUCUCUCUUCUAUCUCUCCAUAGACAAACCUUGAAUCCAUCGGCAAUUCGCCGAUUCGCCGUGGAAAUUACGCGAGCCACCAUCAAUCGUUGGAUUUCUGGCUUAAACACAAUAUAUUUUGUUCUAUGAGAGAGAUUUGUCGUUGUUUUGGGUUCCAAUCGAGAUUCCCCUCGAUAUGACGUUUCGUUGCUCACGGCCUUCUCUCCGACGGCGAUAACGACGGCGAUAACGAGGGUGGAAGGUUCUUGUGAUGGGUUUAAGGGGACGGCAAAGUCAACCGGGUGGCGGAUCGCACACAUAGAAGGUGAGGAGUCUUGAAGCUCAAGGUGUUUCAUCGAAACAAGCUGAGGCAAUAACUUCUGCUAUCACUGAGGUUUUGAAUGAUAGUUUGGAAAAUGUCUCCGAGUCCUUUGUGUCAAAAGCAGAAAUGCAGAAGAUUGAAAUGAUUGAAGAUUCAAAUCUGUCAAAAUUUAAAUCUCAAGUAAAAAGUUCUCAGGUAACAUCGACAGCUGUAAUAGUUUGAUCUUUCAUACAUUAGUGUUUUGUUUUUGAGUAGUACUGGUUCAGAACCUUGAAAAACGUUGUGGCUGUUUUGUGGGUUGAUGUGCAAAAGUUUAUAAUACUCUGUAAAAAAUCACUUUUUGAGUUAUGCUGCGUUUAAUAAUCUCAUAUACAAAGUUGUGUUCUUUCUCUGAGUAGUGGAAAUUAUGUAGAAAGAAGGCCUGUUUAGUUUUUUUCUUUUCCGAACUCUCUUUGUUGCAUCCCAUAGCACUUUUUCAUGUCAUGUUGUGUUCAAGUUUGUUUAGAAUUAUGUGGUUAUAUGUUGUGUUGUGUUAGUCUCAUGAACCGUGUUAACUGGUUUUAUGUUGUGUUGUGCGAGGUGUUCAUGGAGUCGUGCAAGUGUACGACAGAGAAGUAAAAUAUGUUAAAUAUUUAUGUUUUUUUCAUGUAAUAUAAGUAAUUAAGAUAACUUUUUGAGAAAUCUAACAAAUGUGCCAUGCACAGUGAAAAAGUUAUCAAAUCUGCCAUAUACGCUAAAGCCUUUCGAAAUCUGCCAUCUCGAUGGCAUUGGGUGUGGAGUCAAAUUACCCAAUUAACCUUCGACUAAAAUGUUAAAAAAAUUAAAAACUAACUCCUUUGUAAACGUCGUCUCGUCUUCUUCUCCGGUUAUCGCUUUUCCUCACUCGUUUCUUCUCCGGUAAUUGCCUUUCCUCACUCCGUAUACUCGUCGUAGCCGUCGGUCCUCGUAGCCACCGGUCCAAAAUCUUCUGUCGUAGCCGCUGGUCCUCGUCACUGAAUAUCUCCUUUGUCACUUAUUUCCGCCGGAAAUCACUUCGCUAGAAGCGGCUAUGAGUUUCUCUACUCUCUUGGCCGUCGUCGGAGGUCGUCGUCCAGGUUGUCCAACAGAUGCCUCUGAUUCCGUCGACAACACAGCCGAAGGAGACGAAGGGAAUCUCAACCCCACACCGACACUCUUGCGGACUAAUAACGAAACGUUGCCUCCUCGCCUAUUCGCAGCUGAUCGCUAUCCUCAGAAAGGACGUAUUAACUCUUACUCGAAACCAGAGUAUCUCCUUGACAUCGCUAUCCUCAACCCAUAGGCAUUAACUAGACGUCUUGUCAAUCGCUACUUAGGCCGCUCAACUACACUUUUAAUCCCGCCAAUUUGGAGGGUCUAUUAGUAAUUCAUACCAUUCACUAACUUAUCUCCACAUGGUUUAUUGUCUACGAUAUAUCUUGUCCAUGGAAUUAUGUUUGGUAGACAACUUCAAAUAAGAUUACAAAAAGUCCACCACUUUUACACUUCGUCUAUAA